CCAAUAGCGUAUAUUAAAGUUGUUGCAGUUAAAAAGCUCGUAGUUGAAUUUCGGGAUUGACGUGAUGGUCGUGCCUUACGGGGUAUGAACUGUUGCUGUUGAUUUCUCACCUUCUGGAGAAACUUGAUGUCCUUAAUUGGGUGUCUUGCGGAUCCAGGACCUUUACCUUGAAAAAAUUAGAGUGUUUAAAGCAGGCAUUUUUGCUCGAAUACAUUAGCAUGGAAUAAUAGAAUAGGACGGCAUGGUUCUAUUUUGUUGGUUUCUAGGAUCACCGUAAUGAUUAAUAGGGAUAGUUGGGGGCAUUAGUAUUCAAUUGUCAGAGGUGAAAUUCUUGGAUUUAUUGAAGACUAACUACUGCGAAAGCAUUUGCCAAGGAUGUUUUCAUUAAUCAAGAACGAAAGUUAGGGGAUCGAAGACGAUCAGAUACCGUCGUAGUCUUAACCAUAAACUAUGCCGACUAGGAAUCAGACGAUGUUAAUUUUUUAAUGACUCGUUUGGCACCUUACG
rnacentral:rRNA from 1 species